rnacentral:rRNA from 1 species
AGAGUUUGAUCAUGGCUCAGGAUGAACGCUAGCUACAGGCUUAACACAUGCAAGUCGAGGGGAAACGACAUCGAAAGCUUGCUUUUGAUGGGCGUCGACCGGCGCACGGGUGAGUAACGCGUAUCCAACCUGCCCACCACUUGGGGAUAACCUUGCGAAAGUAAGACUAAUACCCAAUGACGUCUCUAGAAGACAUCUGAAAGAGAUUAAAGAUUUAUCGGUGAUGGAUGGGGAUGCGUCUGAUUAGCUUGGUUGGCGGGGUAACGGCCACAAGGCGACGAUCAGUAGGGGUUCUGAGAGGAAGGUCCCCCANAUUGGAACUGAGACACGGUCCAAACUCCGUACGGGAGGCA